AAUCCUUAACUUUUGUUAUUUUUAAUAUUUAGCCAACUAAAUUAUAUUGUAGAAAUUAAUUGUAAUAAUUUAUAAAAUUUGAAUAAGAAAUUAUAAGAGUCAAUUGCUUAUAAACAUCUGAAAAGUUUCGACUUUCUUAUUUACCCUCCUUUAGAAGGCUAAUGUAAAAAAUAUUUUUUUAACGUUCCAAAUUCUUUUAAAUAUACUCCUAGAGUUAAAGACUGUUAGUAAACUAUUACAAACAAUCGUUAUCUUCGUAAAAUUGCUUUCAAAUAUGUCUUAAUUAUUUGUACUGCCACCUACUAUUCUUAUUUGCCCUUAAAUUAGAGACAAAAAAAAUAUUUUGACUUUUGGCUCUUUCAAAUAUACACUUUCCACCAUCACCAACUUUUUUUAUUUGUCGUUAAAUUAGGGACAAAAAGGGGUAUUUUGACUUCUUUUAAACUCUUGAUAGAAAUUAAUUUAACCCGGCUUUAACCCGAGGUGACUUAACGGGUACUAAUAGCGGGGUUAUUUUUGAAUAACAAAAAAAAUAUACGAGAAAUAUAUUAAAAAAAAUAAAAUAAAAUAAAAAAACAGUAAGGAUAUAUAAGAUAUUUUAGAAGUUUUGAGAGAUAUAUAGAUAAUUAUCCCAAACUAUAAAUAAUGUGGAGAAUGA
rnacentral:lncRNA from 1 species